rnacentral:rRNA from 1 species
UAGGGAAUCUUCGGCAAUGGGGGCAACCCUGACCGAGCAACGCCGCGUGAGUGAAGAAGGUUUUCGGAUCGUAAAGCUCUGUUGUAAGAGAAGAACGUGUGUGAGAGUGGAAAGUUCACACAGUGACGGUAACUUACCAGAAAGGGACGGCUAACUACGUGCCAGCAGCCGCGGUAAUACGUAGGUCCCGAGCGUUGUCCGGAUUUAUUGGGCGUAAAGCGAGCUCAGGCGGUUUAAUAAGUCUGAAGUUAAAGGCAGUGGCUUAACCAUUGUUCGCUUUGGAAACUGUUAAACUUGAGUGCAGAAGGGGAGGGUGGAAUUCCAUGUGUAGCGGUGAAAUGCGUAGAUAUAUGGAGGAACACCGGUGGCGAAAGCGGCUCUCUGGUCUGUAACUGACGCUGAGGCUCGAAAGCGUGGGGAGCAAACAGG